CAACUUUCAACAACGGAUCUCUUGGCUCUCGCAUCGAUGAAGAACGCAGCGAAAUGCGAUACGUAAUGUGAAUUGCAGAAUUCAGUGAAUCAUCGAAUCUUUGAACGCACCUUGCGCCCCUUGGCAUUCCGAGGGGCACACCCGUUUGAGUGUC
rnacentral:rRNA from 5 species